CACAACAGAGGUUAAAAUCCUCUCGCUUCC
rnacentral:tRNA from 1 species